rnacentral:rRNA from 1 species
CGUCCCCUACGGGGGGCAGCAGUGAGGAAUAUUGGUCAAUGGUCGGGAGACUGAACCAGCCAAGCCGCGUGAGGGAUGAAGGUACAGAGUAUCGUAAACCUCUUUUGUCAGGGAACAAAGGCGGGGACGUGUCCCCGGAUGAGUGUACCUGAAGAAAAAGCAUCGGCUAACUCCGUGCCAGCAGCCGCGGUAAUACGUAGGGUGCGAGCGUUAAUCGGAAUUACUGGGCGUAAAGGGUGUGCAGGCGGCUGAGUAAGACAGAUGUGAAAUCCCCGGGCUUAACCUGGGAACCGCAUAUGUGACUC